rnacentral:snRNA from 1 species
AAUCCUGUUUCACUCAGGUGUUC